UUAAAUCACGAAUUGUUCGCCAAACAACUACGAGUAAUACUUAAAACUUAAAAGACUUGACGGUACUUCNCCCGACCUAGAGGAGCCUGUCUAAUAACCGACGACCCACGAUUAACCCAACCACUUCUUGCCCGACAGUCUAUAUACCGCCGUCGCCNGCUUACCUUGUAAAAGAAAUAAAGUGAGCUAAAUAGUAACGCACUAAAACGACAGGUCGAGGUGUAACUUAUGAAGGGGGCCAAGAUGGGCUACAUUCUCCAACAAAGAAUACGAACAACACUAUGAAAUUAGUGUUUGAAGGCGGAUUUAGCAGUAAGAUAAGAACAAAACACUUAACUGAACACAACGCAAUGAAGUGCGCACACACCGCCCGUCAUCCCUGCCACCAC
rnacentral:rRNA from 1 species